CUCAUUAUAGCUCAUAUACGCAAUUAGAAGUAGAAUUAAAGAGAUUACAAGUAGAAACAUCUCCAUUAUGUCAAUUUCUUGGCUAAAAAUGAUAUCAGAUGCCAUAUAAACUUCCAUUAAAUUUUCUGCCUUUGCAUAACAAUGAAUUCACAAAUAUAUUGUCUAAUCUAUUUACAUUAUGCGAAGGAACGACAUAAGAUGCUGUUUUUGUCCUAUUUGACUCCAAAGAAAUCUCAUUCAUUUGUCCUUGAUACAAAAUCUAUCAAGUCUUCAAGAGUCAAUUUGAGGGUUCUGAAGUAAAUAUCUAGCAUUAUGCAGGGUUGCACUGGCCUCCUCAUUUGAGGCAUCAAGCAUCCGCAGUUCUUUGAUCUCCUCCUGCCAUUUCUCCAUUUGUUCCUUAUGAAUCAUGAUCAACCGCUCUUCAAAUUCAUUACUCAUUUCCUUAAACAUUGCCUUUCCUGAUUCCAGUAGCUCAGAUACCUACAUGAAUCAAUGACGGCAUAAAAUUUAACGGGCAGAAAAAGUUCUACAAAUAUAAUUAUGCCUACAAGUAGAUGCUUCCAAAUUAUAUAUAGAUCAUCUCCUCAUCUGAGUUGAUCAUAGGCCUAUUUCAAACUUUCAAAAUCCAUGGCAUUUCAACUGUUUGGAGAAAGAUGGUAGAUAACUUACAAAACGGGGAUCAUGGACGAUACAUCAGAAAAAAUACUCUAUCGUAUAUACUUUCCAAGCCAUAUAAAAAAUAUAUAUAUAAUUUGCCAGAGCUACCAUUUGAGUGAAGUGUUCAAUCUUCUCAACAAUGUGAGCAAUAUUAAGUUCCAUCUCUUCAGAUCCGAGAGUGUUUGUCUCGGUCUCUUCCUUUUCUACAAUCUCCAGCGCUGUUCCAUCUCUUACCUCCUGUUCCUUCUCUUCCAUUCCAAGCUUCAUGCGCUUCCUCAAAAUUUCAUCUUCUUCGUUUUCCAUUUCAGUAGCUGAAGUUUAAAGCUGCAUUCAAACAACACCAUUUCCAGCAGCGACUAAUUUGAAAGAAACACAACAAAUGACGAAUCUACCUUCAACAACGUGAUUUUGAAUCAAAUUGUGCAAAUGAAACAGAGACCAUUACCUCAAAUGGAAUCGCCAAUUAAAUCUGCGAUUGAUCUCUGAAACUUCCUGCCAGGGACUGAGGGGGGAGAGAAAGGAAAUGCAAUGUGAAUUAAAAUGGAAUCGUUUGGUUCCAAACUAUUUUAAAAUUUUUGGAAAGAGUUGGGGAUGCGCGG
rnacentral:misc_RNA from 1 species